rnacentral:tRNA from 1 species
UCCCAGGUGGCUCAGUGGGUAAAGAACCUGCCUGCAAUGCAGGAGAUACAGGUUCAAUUCCUGGGUUGGAUA